GACGAACGCUGGCGGCGUGCCUAAUACAUGCAAGUAGAACGCUGAAGGAGGAGCUUGCUUCUCUGGAUGAGUUGCGAACGGGUGAGUAACGCGUAGGUAACCUGCCUGGUAGCGGGGGAUAACUAUUGGAAACGAUAGCUAAUACCGCAUAAGAGUAGAUGUUGCAUGACAUUUGCUUAAAAGGUGCAAUUGCAUCACUACCAGAUGGACCUGCGUUGUAUUAGCUAGUUGGUGGGGUAACGGCUUACCAAGGCGACGAUACAUAGCCGACCUGAGAGGGUGAUCGGCCACCCUGGGACUGAGACACGGCCCAGACUCCUACGGGAGGCAGCAGUAGGGAAUCUUCGGCAAUGGACGGAAGUCUGACCGAGCAACGCCGCGUGAGUGAAGAAGGUUUUCGGAUCGUAAAGCUCUGUUGUAAGAGAAGAACGAGUGUGAGAGUGGAAAGUUCACACUGUGACGGUAUCUUACCAGAAAGGGACGGCUAACUACGUG
rnacentral:rRNA from 1 species